rnacentral:rRNA from 1 species
CCUACGGGUGGCAGCAGUGAGGAAUAUUGGUCAAUGGGCGGGAGUCUGAACCAGCCAAGUAGCGUGAAUGAUGACUGCCCUAUGGGUUGUAAACUUCUUUUAUAUGGGAAUAAAACGUUCCACGUGUGGGAUUUUGUAUGUACCAUAUGAAUAAGGAUCGGCUAACUCCGUGCCAGCAGCCGCGGUAAUACGGAGGAUCCGAGCGUUAUCCGGAUUUAUUGGGUUUAAAGGGAGCGUAGGUGGAUUGUUAAGUCAGUUGUGAAAGUUUGCGGCUCAACCGUAAAAUUGCAGUUGAAACUGGCAGUCUUGAGUGCAGUAGAGGUGAGCGGAAUUCGUGGUGUAGCGGUGAAAUGCUUAGAUAUCACGAAGAACUCCGAUUGCGAAGGCAGUUCACUGGACUGCAACUGACACUGAGGCUCGAAAGUGUGGGUAUCAAACAGGAUUAGAUACCCCUGUAGUC